CGGUACUCUAUCGGAUCUCCUUAAAGGUACCUUAGUCAAUGGGCUCUGGAUUCGAUCUAAUCAAAUCUGAUUUUAUAUUUUCACUUGUCUGUAUUGGUUCUUCUACUUGUUAAACUUUCUCAAGUUUAAUCUUAGUGGCAUCGUCCCUUUCAUAAAAAGAAUAUUCUAUUACUGAUAAACACCUUUUAUUCUUCAACAUGAUAGAAGUAGCAUACCCUAGACUCCAUAGGAUACCCUACAAUUAAGCAAUUAUCGGAUCGAGGUCCAAGCUUAUGGAUCUAUAAAUAUUUUACAUAAACCAAAUAACCCCA
rnacentral:lncRNA from 1 species